rnacentral:rRNA from 1 species
GCAAGUAGAACGCUGAAGAGAGGAGCUUGCUCUUCUUGGAUGAGUUGCGAACGGGUGAGUAACGCGUAGGUAACCUGCCUUGUAGCGGGGGAUAACUAUUGGAAACGAUAGCUAAUACCGCAUAACAAUGGGUGACACAUGUCAUUUAUUUGAAAGGGGCAAUUGCUCCACUACAAGAUGGACCUGCGUUGUAUUAGCUAGUAGGUGAGGUAACGGCUCACCUAGGCGACGAUACAUAGCCGACCUGAGAGGGUGAUCGGCCACACUGGGACCGAGACACGGCCCAGACUCCUACGGGAGGCAGCAGUAGGGAAUCUUCGGCAAUGGGGGCAACCCUGACCGAGCAACGUCGCGUGAGUGAAGAAGGUUUUCGGAUCGUAAAGCUCUGUUGUAAGUCAAGAACGAGUGUGAGAGUGGAAAGUUCACACUGUGACGGUAGCUUACCAGAAAGGGACGGCUAACUACGUGCCAGCAGCCGCGGUAAUACGUAGGUCCCGAGCGUUGUCCGGAUUUAUUGGGCGUAAAGCGAGCGCAGGCGGUUUGAUAAGUCUGAAGUUAAAGGCUGUGGCUCAACCAUAGUUCGCUUUGGAAACUGUCAAACUUGAGUGCAGAAGGGGAGAGUGGAAUUCCAUGUGUAGCGGUGAAAUGCGUAGAUAUAUGGAGGAACACCGGUGGCGAAAGCGGCUCUCUGGUCUGUAACUGACGCUGAGGCUCGAAAGCGUGGGGAGCGAACAGGAUUAGAUACCCUGGUAGUCCACGCCGUAAACGAUGAGUGCUAGGUGUUGGAUCCUUUCCGGGAUUCAGUGCCGCAGCUAACGCAUUAAGCACUCCGCCUGGGAGUACGA